rnacentral:lncRNA from 1 species
GAUCAAUCCAUUUUAGAAGCAAUUUCAUCAGAACUUGCAGUUGCUAUAAAUCAAUGGGCGAUUGCCUAGAUUUGGGGUCGAAGACAAUUUAAUUCCAGCGUCUCCCCUGUUUGCUUUGUGUAGCUCUGAAUUCAGGCCAUAAAAGGUACAUUGACAUAAGCCGCCAGCUGUUGCCACCUCCAUCUGAAUGCCAAUGUCCCUCAUCUAUUGACACAAGAAGAAAGUAAAUAAGGUAAGCAUGGCCGCAGCUUCUGUCCGCUGGAGUGCAAGAAGGGGCAGGAGGGGACCCUGGAAGAUAGGCUGAGAAAAGGUGUGCAGGAUCAUCCCAGCAAAGCUGCCGCGUGGUCGCUGUUUGCAGGAACUCUCCCCUCUGCGCUCUCUGAUGUGUGUCUCACUGCUCAGAGAAUUUCUCCUCUGGCAGCUCACAGCCCCAGCUGUGGGCCACUUUCGCAGGCUGUCUCUACCCCAGGACUCCUGGAUGCUCCAAAGGCAUUCCUCCCCAGCCCUCAUUUCAUCAAGAUCCCUUUCCAAAGAGCCCUGUUG